UACGUAGGGUCCGAGCGUUGUCCGGAAUUACUGGGUGUAAAGGGUGCUCAGGCGGUCUUGUAAGUUAGAAGUGAAAUCCUAGGGCUCAACUCUGGAACUGCUUUUAAUACUGCAAGGCUUGAAUAUGGAAGAGGAGGGUGGAAUUUCUGGUGUAGCAGUGAAAUGCGUAGAUAUCAGAAAGAACACCAGUGGCGAAGGCGGCCCUCUGGUCCAUUAUUGACGCUAAAGCACGAAAGCGUGGGGAGCAAACAGG
rnacentral:rRNA from 1 species